rnacentral:rRNA from 1 species
UACGUAGGGAGCAAGCGUUGUCCGGAAUCAUUGGGCGUAAAGCGCGCGUAGGAGGCCUCGUAAGUCCGUUGUGAAAGUCAAAGGCUCAACCUUUGAAAGCCGAUGGAUACUGUGAGGCUAGAGUCCGGAAGAGGCGAGUGGAAUUCCUGGUGUAGCGGUGGAAUGCGCAGAUAUCAGGAGGAACACCAAUAGCGAAGGCAGCUCGCUGGGACGGUACUGACGCUAAGGCGCGAAAGCGUGGGGAGCGAACAGG